AAAAAAAGAAGAAAAAAAUAAAUAAAAAAAAAUUAUUCCUCAAUAAAUCUGCCGUAGAACGACAUAAGUCCUAUUUGGUAUCUUCGAAUUGUUCAGGGAUACAUAGUUAGCAGUUACAAUGUUUCUUGCUACUUUAGCUACUGCGGCGCAUUUAGUGAUCAUGUUAACUGAUGCUGACUCUGAUGUAUUUCAAUGUUUGUGGUGCUUUUCACGGUUUCAAUAAUUGUAUCUCUUUCUCUUAUUGUUUGUGUACGUGUGUGGUUCAUUUUGGCAUUGCAGUAUUGACAUUCACCCCUCAACAAUAAGCAAUGGAUAGCGAUACGUCAGCAACAUUUGAGGAUUUGCAUGUACUGCACCACCACCCACCAUCCUAUGCUGACAAAAGGCAGGAUAGGAUACGGGCUGUCAAAACAAAAAAUGAGGAAAUGUGCCGCUUCAGUUGUAAGACAUGCUGGUAUUCUUGUUUAUCGAACGACUUCACUUCCUGUGUGUAAAAAUCAUCAGUAUGAGCUGAAGAGGAGAUCAACCCCAUCAUCCAGAGAUCAAAAGCGUUUUCUGUGACAGCUGCAUGUCCCACCCCACAGCCAUCAUGGAGGAGGUAGCAACAGAUGAUAUCUAUGCGUACGCUCUGUCCAAGACGCUGACAAAGGUUUCCUCACCAGCAACAGUGGGUCUCUACUCUUCUUGUCAGGAUCGACUGGAUGUGUUUCUC